rnacentral:rRNA from 1 species
ACGGGUGAGUAACGCGUGAGGAACCUGCCUUGGAGAGGGGAAUAACACUCCGAAAGGAGUGCUAAUACCGCAUGAUGCAGUUGGGUCGCUUGGCUCUGACUGCCAAAGAUUUACCGCUCUGAGAUGGCCUCGCGUCUGAUUAGCUAGUAGGCGGGGUAACGGCCCACCUAGGCGACGAUCAGUAGCCGGACUGAGAGGUUGACCGGCCACAUUGGGACUGAGACACGGCCCAAACUCCUACGGGAGGCAGCAUG